AACACGUACAAUUGCAACCCUAGGAUAUAUUGCUCCAGAGUAUGGACAGGAUGGUAUAGUAUCCACGAGCUGCGAUGUUUAUAGUUUUGGCAUCCUGAUGAUGGAGACGUUUACAAGAAUGAGACCAAGCGAUGAUAUAUUUACCGGAGAAUUGAGCAUAAGAAGUUGGGUUAGCGAUUCUUUUCCAGGUGGAAUUCAUAAGGUGGUGGAUGCUAAUUUGCUACAUCCAGCGGAUGAACAAACCGAUGCAAAGAUGCAGUGUCUGCUAUCUAUCAUGGAAUUAGCUGUGAGUUGCACUGUGAUGAUACCUGAUGCAAGAAUUAGUAUGGAAGAGUCUCUUUCAACACUUACAAAGAUUAGGCUCCAGUUUGUCAGUAGUUGCUGCUAGGUGGAAUCAGCGAUCGACUCUUGAUCAAAGGUGGAGGUAGAGUGUUCGGUCUGGGUUCAACUGAAUCCAGUAAGUUUUGCUUAGAUCUUGUAUUUGUAUUAGGAAAUCCAUCAAAUACUUAAUCGCGAACCCAGUAACUAAGACAAAGUAUGAGUUUGGUGGUCAGUUUAGAACCUACGGAAAAUGCCUAAAAAUGCCACUCAACUUUCAGAAAUGGUCUAUCCAUGCCAUCCGUUAAAAAAAAUGCUAAUUUUAUGCCACUGCCGUUACACAUUUGGCCCAUCCAUGCCAUUGCUGACUAACGACUCAAUUUUUAUUUGGCUCAUCCAUGCCACUGCCGUUAAUCAAUAAUGGCAUGGAUAGGCCAUUUCUGUAAUGGCAGUGGCAUGGAAAUAACAAUUUUUUAACGAAUGGCAUGGAUAUAUCAUUUCUGAAAGUUGAGUGGCAUUUUUAGGCCUUUUCCGUAGAACCUAUAAACUUCAAAUCCUGACUCUGCCUAUGCUCUCGAUUGCUGCUUCAUUAGCUAUAUAUGAUGGUUGUGUUAAGCUUUCAAUUAUGCGCUAGGACUUAAGUUCAUCAUAGCAGUGUAAGUAAUUGUAAGUAAUGAUCUGUUAUGCAAGGCUUUUUAGACUCUGAAACCACGGCUGAAGUUAAGCCAUUAAAAACUUACUUAUGUUUACGUCAAACCAAUAAAUGCAUAAUAUAUGUUAAUCA